AAUGAAGGGGGAAGCAUAUACAGCAUAUGUUACUGCAUCUAAUGCUAUUUGUGUGAAUAAGCGUGCAGAUAAUUGUUGCUGGGUAAUGGACAUGACAUCAGAUGUGACGUGACAAUAGCAUUUACUCAUUGUGAAUCUUUCAUUUUUUAUACACAUGAAUAACUUUAGGUGUAACCAUGACUCAACGGGGCUGGACUUUAAGACUCAUCGUGGGCUAUUUAAAUGCAUUUGCUUUCCUCAGUGCUAUUACAUGAAGUCACAGCCACUGACUGUCAGCAAAACGGUAUCUCAAUUCAUUUCUCCACAUUGCCGCAAGGACAGGAAUACUCAUCAGUUAUCACUAAUUUGAAGAUGCUCCUCAAUCUACAUCUUAAUAGAAAACAAUAAAAUAUAAUUAAAGUGAAUAGACUAAAUUAAUGCAGUAUUGAUCAUGUAUACCAUACCUUCAUCCAGAAGUGGAACCAUCGCGAUUCCAGAUAAACUUAGAGAGUCCCUAUCAUGCCUCGAUGUUGUGUGGUCCGAUAUGUUUCAGGCAGUAGACAUUAACCCUGAAGAAGCAAGAGAGCAUGAGUCUGACUUUCUUAAAGGAGCCCCACCAAAGUGGCUUAAUUUAGCAGAGGAAAAAAACUCACCUUUAGUCAAGAGGGACGGCUUUACUGAUUUAACACAGUUAAUUAAGAGGAAAAAAAGAAAAAGCUGUCUGAUCACCCAUUUUUACGCGUCUGUAUUUCCUCCCACGCAUGAGGCCCGCAUGCAGCGUUCAGUUACAGGCUGUUUCUGCUACUCUAUAUUAUUCUGCUGUGCAAUGUUGUUAAAAUUGUGGCAAACAAGCUGUAAGAGCUCAGCAAAACCUUACACUGAAUCUGGAACUGCAUAGUUAUACAAGCCUGUGGUAUUUUGAAUAGCAGGAGAGCGACCGGUCGUGAGCAUUCGUGGCCUUUAAACUUGAAAAUCGGUUACUGUGGAUUUCUGAGGACUAUAAAGAAUCAUGUCCUGUCAAGGUUUAGAUCGGUGAAUUGAUCAAGUUUAUCUCUGUCGCUGCCACCCACACAUUACAGAUCUGUUAUCAUUUAUCUACCCUGUAUGUUCGUUCCAAACCUAUGCUUUGUUUGCUCAAAAAAGAUGCUCCUAGACGCUCCUUUCCAUGCAGUGGAAGUGAAAGCAGACGUCAAAAAGUGUGUCUAUAAUUCUUAAAUCUAUAGAAGCUCAUUUCUGCCAUGGAAUAAAAUAUUUCAACCUUUUAAAAUUAUAACGGUAACUGCAACUUUUUAUCUCACAAUUGCAACAGUUUUUCUUGCAGUUCUGAGUUUAUGUCUCUCAGUUCUGAUUUUGCCAUGUUUGCAAUUCUAAGAAGAAAAGUCAGAAUUGUGAGAAAAAAACAAA